rnacentral:rRNA from 1 species
ACUGUUGGGCUAGAGUGUGGUAGGGGCAGAGGGAAUUCCCGGUGUAGCGGUGAAAUGCGUAGAUAUCGGGAAGAACACCAGUGGCGAAGGCGCUCUGCUGGGCCAUAACUGACGCUCAUGGACGAAAGCCAGGGGAGCGAAAGGGAUUAGAUACCCCUGUAGUCCUGGCCGUAAACGAUGAACACUAGGUGUCGGGGGAAUCGACCCCCUCGGUGUCGUAGCCAACGCGUUAAGUGUUCCGCCUGGGGAGUACGCACGCAAGUGUGAAACUCAAAGGAAUUGACGGGGGCCCGCACAAGCGGUGGAGUAUGUGGCUUAAUUCGAUGCAACGCGAAGAACCUUACCAGGGUUUGACAUCCUGCGAAUCUCCUGGAAACGGGGGAGUGCCUUCGGGAACGCAGUGACAGGUGGUGCAUGGCUGUCGUCAGCUCGUGUCGUGAGAUGUUGGGUUAAGUCCCGCAACGAGCGCAACCCACGUCUUUAGUUGCCAGCAUUCAGUUGGGCACUCUAGAGAGACCGCCGGUGAUAAACCGGAGGAAGGUGUGGAUGACAUCAAGUCAUCAUGCCCCUUACAUCCUGGGCUACACACGUACUACAAUGCUACGGACAAAGGGCAGCAAACUCGCGAGAGCUAGCAAAUCCCAUAAACCGUGGCUCAGUUCAGAUCGUAGGCUGCAACUCGCCUACGUGAAGGAGGAAUCGCUAGUAAUUGCAGGUCAGCAUACUGCGGUGAAUACGUUCCCGGGCCUUGUACACACCGCCCGUCACACCACGGAAGUUGGCCAUGCCCGAAGCCGUUACUCCAACCCUUGUGGAGGAGGACGUCGAAGGUGGGGCUGAUGACUGGGGUGAAGUCGUAACAAGGUAGCCGUA